rnacentral:rRNA from 1 species
AGCAGCCGCGGUAAUUCCAGCUCCAAUAGCGUAUAUUAAAGUUGUUGCAGUUAAAAAGCUCGUAGUUGAAUUUCGGGAUCAAGGAAUCGGUCAUGCCUUGGUAUGUACUGGUUUUAUUGGUUCUCACCUUCUAAAGAACCAUAAUGUCAUUCAUUUGAUGUUAUGGGGAAUUAGGACUGUUACCUUGAAAAAAUUAGAGUGUUUAAAGCAGGCUUACGCUUGAAUACAUUAGCAUGGAAUAAUGAAAUAGGACGUUCGAUCCUAUUUUGUUGGUUUCUAGGAUUGACGUAAUGAUUAAAUAGGGAUAGUUGGGGGCAUUAGUAUUCAAUUGUCAGAGGUGAAAUUCUUGGAUUUAUGAAGACUAACUACUGCGAAAGCAUUUGCCAAGGAUGUUUUCAUUAAUCAAGAACGAAAGUUAGGGGAUCGAAGACGAUCAGAUACCGUCGUAGUCUUAACCAUAAACUAUGCCGACUAGGGAUCGGGAUGAUGUUAAUUUUUAAUGACUCAUUCGGCGCCUUAC